rnacentral:tRNA from 1 species
CAUAAAGUAGCUUAAGGUAAAGCAUUAGAUUUUUAAUCUAAGUAUAAAAGUAUUUUUCUUUGUGG